UACGUAGGUGGCAAGCGUUGUCCGGAAUUAUUGGGCGUAAAGCGCGCGCAGGCGGUCCUUUAAGUCUGAUGUGAAAGCCCUCGGCUUAACCGCGGAACCGCCUGUCAUACUGGGAGGCUUGAGACCGGGAGAGGUGAGUGGAAUUCCCAGUGUAGCGGUGAAAUGCGUAGAUAUUGGGAGGAACACCAGUGGCGAAGGCGGCUCACUGGACCGGUACUGACGCUGAGGCGCGAAAGCGUGGGGAGCAAACAGG
rnacentral:rRNA from 1 species